GCCUGUAAACAAGGAAGCCACCUGGGGGAGACUCAGGGCGGCCACUGGUCCUGGGGAGCAGGUGCUUCCUGAGGCCCGCCCUGCAGAGGGCCCUAGGGGGCAGCCGGGCCGAUUCGGCAGCUGCCAUUAGGGGGCGCUGUCUACUGGCUUCCCGAACCCACUGCUUCCUACCACGGCUCCUGGGGGAGUGGCCACCGGAGGGUGUGCCGGCCCUGCUGGCCCGCCCUCCUUCCCUUCUUUCUGUCCCCAAGGCAGACUGGCCAAGGGCACCAUCCCUGGCAGAGAGGACGCGAGGAUCAGCCUGGCCAGCUUGGGUGUGAGUUCAUUCCCCCCGGACCACCGAUUCGCAGUUCCUGCACCUCCCCGCAAGACUCAUUGGUUGGGGGGCAGGCUCCGAGGCCACCGGGCUCCAGGCUGCCCUUGGCGCUGCCCCCCUGGCGCCAGGGAAACAAAAGGUGCAGAGGCAGGUGCCUGCAGCUCACCUCCCCUGUGUGGCCUGAUCUUACAGCUCUGACCCGUGACCUGCUUCCUCCCUGGCUUCUGCAUAGGGAUAGAAGCCCAGAUGUGGUCUACCCCACUUCCCUCACCAGAUCCUCUGGCUUCUCAUCCCUGCCUGGGACCAGAACUGUUCAUGGCUCCCAGAGGGCCAGAGCUGCAGAGACCUCACAUGGAGACCACAGAGUGCUGUGGAACCCUUGCUCAAAUAAAAAUUUCCACGAAUAUCCA